rnacentral:rRNA from 1 species
CCCCUAGCUCUUAUAGCCCCACAACCCCCCUAGGCGCCGUGUGCUUGGUUUUAGGUUGGGGCGACCGCGGAGUACAAUAAAACCUCCACAAUGAAUGGGAACACCCCCUUAUCUGAGGGCCACACCCCCUAAGAAUUANAACACUAACAUAAAAUGAUCCAUUACUUGAUCAAUGAACCAAGUUACCCUGGGGAUAACAGCGCAAUCCAUUUCAAGAGCCCCUAUC